ensembl:lncRNA
GCAAGGCCGCAGGAUCAUACAUCAAUGUGAAGAGUGCUUGAGGAGUUUCCAAGGAACAAGAAUUUAAUUUCCGAGGAAUGAAAGGUGACUUUGUUCGUCAUUGAUAAGAGGAGAAGCUUUGUCAUGAAGUCACAGAGGAGGUCGGAUGACUCUAACAUUUGAAAGUCAGAGCAGGAGUGACUCCCUUCAUUGGUACCUGUCAGAUGCCUCUUAAGCACGUGCUGUGGUCAGUGUUCUUGGUGGGAAUACAGCAGUGAACCAGACAGCCAUGGACCGUGUCCCCAUGGAGCUCACUUACCUUCCAGAUGGGGCAGAGAAACACCAAACGUGGCAAUAGAUCACAUAGUGUUACAGAGCGAAUUAACGUUAUGAAGAAAACGGGACAGUGAUGACAAUUUAGAUGGAGUGGGGAAGGAUCUGGGAAGACCUUUCUGAGGGUGAUAUUUGAGCCAAAAGGGCAAACCACAAGAAGGAACCAGUCACGUGAAUCCAGGGAAUGAGGCUUUGCAGACGGAGCAGACCCUGGUGCUGGUGCAAAGAGGCUUGUGUGCUUGUGGGACAGAAAGACCGGUGUGCACAAAGCGAACUAUUGACUGAGCUUCCUCUAGGCCAGGCCCUGUCGUUGAAACCAGAACAGAGGGAUGCUCUGCUGGAGGCCAUCAAUGGAGACGAGAGGGGUUACAGGGCUGGCUUAUACCGGGCUAGGGAGUCUACCAUCAAUAUUUGUUCUGUGUUCAGUGGGCAGCCACUGGAGAUUUGCAUUUGGAUGCGGAUAUGACCUGCUAUUUGUUUUUAAAUACUCUUGUUGCCCUGUUCAGGAAAUGCACUUUGUGGAGCAAGAAUGAAAAUGGACACCAGUUAGCCAGCUGCCAAAGUAAAGAAGGAAGAUGGGGAAGUUGGAGGUGGAUGACAUUGCUGUUGUUGUUCAGUCAUGUUCAACUCUUCACGACCCCAUGGACUACAGCAUGCCAGGCUACCCUAUCCCUCACCAUCUUCCGGACAUCAAUGGGGGGUUGUGAGAAAUGAUCUUGGGCAUACUUUGGGAAGGUAGAGCAAACAUGACUUAUUGAUUGACAGGAUACAGAAUGUGAGGGAAAGAGAGGAUUCAACAGAGACUCCUGACAGCCACAGGAUGGAGGGCAGGCAGCACAAAUGGGGAAGGCUAGGAGAAUGAGUCCAUUCUAAAGUAGAUCAGUCCUGGGUGUUCAUUGGAAGGACUGAUGUUGAAGCUGAAACUCCAAUACUUUGGCCACCUGAUGCAAAGAGCUGACUCAUUUGAAAAGACCCUGAUGCUGGGAAAGAUUGAGGGCAGGAGGAGAAGGGGAUGACAGAGGAUGAGAUGGUUGGAUGGCAUCACCGACUCAAUGGACGUGGGUUUGUGUGGACUCCGGGAGUUGGUGAUGGACAGGGAGGCCUGGCAUGCUGCAGUUCAUGGGGUUGCAAAGAGUCGGACAUGACUGAGCGACUGAACUGAAGUGAGGAGGAUGAGAGGUAGAAGAACCAAGAGUUUCAUUUGGGGCAUCUGCAUGUGCAACCCCAGUGAGAACCAAAUGGAGAGCCGGUAGGUGGAGGCAGGGCUGUGGGGUACAGGCCUGAAGAUCAGUGUUGGGAGUCAUCAGAGUGUUUGCAGAUCUAUGGUUUUAUGAAAUAAAAAGAGAAGAAACCAGAGCCAGAGAGAACCCAGGGACACGCCAGCACUCGGAAGCUGGGAGAAUGGCUGGAACAGUAGCUCGGGGCCUGGUGCACAGUACGAGAGCACCAAUCUGUGUCACCAAGGAAGCUGGAGCCAGUAGUUGUCUUUGCUGGUGGAAUUUCUUAAGCAGCUCACUUUCAAAGUAAGAUUUAUCACAAGCUUGAGGACAAGAGGACAGGGAUCCUUUGUUCAUCUUUAGUUAAUAAAUUUGGUCAAUUAAAGUUGCCUUUUGAAGCGACGCAAGACUGUCUUACAGGUCUCUGGGGUGACAGCCACUGCUGAAGAGCCCAGCUCCGGCAGCCCCUUUCUGGUGAAUGACAGGCAGAGCUCUCCUGUGCGUGUUCCCCUGCCUCCUCCCCCUUUGGUGGAAGAACGAAGCACAGUGAUUCAGGGCCCUGGGAGCCUCCUGGCCCCUUGAUAUGGCAGCACCCAGGCAGAGGUCUCUGCACACACAGGAGGUUCCCCGCCUCCGGACACACCUCAUAAACGUCAGCCUGGCAUCCGCCAGUGUUUGCACAGCUCCUAAGUGCUCUAAC